AUUAAUUUAGUGUAAUUAAGCAUUUUAACUUUUCGUGUUUUAGGUGAUUUUAAUCAAUUAAUA
rnacentral:tRNA from 1 species